rnacentral:tRNA from 1 species
GAUAAGGUGGCCGAUUUAGGUGUUAGUCUCUUAAAUUAAUUUUGAAGAAAGUAGUUAAAUUA